CGACAUAUCGUUAGUGGUUUGUUAUUAGGUGUGCAUUCACAACACUAGAAAUAUUUUUUUUAGUUUUUUCCUACGCGUAGGUUUGAAAUUAAA